rnacentral:rRNA from 1 species
AUGGCGCUUACGCAGACGAAGGAGGAGGGCGACGAUUGCUAUCUCCCGCCGCCGGUGGUCAUCGGGCCCGACGAGGACGGUGUGAGAAAGGUUAUCGAGUACCGCUUAGAAGAGGGCGUGGUUUUAAAGGUGACCACGACCACCCGCUCCCGCUCUAAACUCGCCGCCAAGGAGCACCGUUCGUGGCCCAGGUUCGGCGACGCCGCCAACGACGACGGCGCCACCUUCCGCUCACGUAAUCCGCACCCAAACGUGCUCUCCUCACAUGAAGUCUUCCUUGAUCGCCGAGAUGGUUCCGUGGUUUGCAGGACCUGCAAGAAGGGCUACCACUGGACGUCAAGGUGCCCAUACAGUGACCUUUAUUCCCAGCUGGAAGCCUUGGAUGAGCAGCCGAAACCCGCGUGUGAAGGAGGUCGCUCCGCUGCAUACGUGAGGCGGAGGAACCACGACAACACCGUCCGCGUGGACAAUCUUUCGGAGCAAGCCCGUGAUCCAGACCUUCUGGAGCUGUAUGGCGCGGUUGGCCCGGUUCGCCGCGCACAUGUCGUCGUGGAUCGCAGGACGGGAUCUAGCAAGGGGUUUGGAUUCGUAGAGUUCGUCCGCAGGGCAGAUGCUGAAAAGGCUAUCCGCACCCUCGAUCGUUACGGCUACGAUCACCUCAUCAUCCGUGUGGAGCGACCAGAACGACGCGUCGGCUGA